rnacentral:rRNA from 1 species
CUCGUAGGCGGCCAACUAAGUCGGAUGUGAAAUCCCCAGGCUUAACCUGGGAACUGCAUCCGAUACUGGAUGGCUUGAAUCCGGGAGAGGGAUGCAGAAUUCCAGGUGUAGCGGUGAAAUGCGUAGAUAUCUGGAGGAAUACCGGUGGCGAAGGCGGCAUCCUGGACCGGCAUUGACGCUGAGUGAGCGAAAGCCAGGGGAGCAAACG